rnacentral:RNase_P_RNA from 1 species
GUAAGCUGGACAGCCGCGUGGGCAGUGCCGAAAGGCCGUCCAUGAGGAAAGUCCGGGCUCCGUAGGGCAAGGAUAACGGAUAACAUCCGCCGGGGGCGACCCUAGGAAAAGUGCAACAGAGAGAUACCGCCUUGUGGGCCUUGCGCCGGCAAGGUAAGGGUGGAAAGGCGAGGUAAGAGCUCACCCGAUGGCUGGAGACUGCCCAUCGCUGUAAACUCUAUCCGGAGCAACACCGUGGAGGGACAUAUGGCUGGCCCGGCCGUCCCAUGGAGGUGGCUGGAACGCGUUGGCAACGGCGCGUCUAGAUAGAUGGCUGUCUUAAAGGACAGAACCCGGCUUACAGGCUUGCUUG